GUGCCUUUCCUGUGAGCAUACAGCAUUACUCUCCAUUGUCCUUCAACCUAGUUGUCACUUCCUCCAGGAAGUCCUCUCUGAUUACUACUGCUGCUCCCAGGCCAAGAACACUGCUAAUUCAAGGACAAGCGCACAGAUUGGGACUUCACCUAAGAGGCCUUGGGCAAACCAGAAGCACAUAGUGGUGCUGUGAAGACCCCGUGAAGCCGAAGGGCACCUGUGCAGAGAAGCAAUGAGAACCAGUGUCCUCGGCAGACAAGAGAUGGUGGUGACUGGCAAGAGGCAGGGGACAGUGAGGCGGAGAGGAAGCAGACAAAACCAAAGGACAGGAAGGACAAAGACCUCUGGGGUGAAGACAGAAUGAAGGGAUCUAGUGGGUAGUAAAAGCCCAGCAGACACCUGGGUAAUGGAAAGUCACUAUCCUGGCACUCCCAGAGGAGUAGCUGAUGGAAGGUGUAAUGGCCAUUGUCAAUAAUGGUUGCCCCUCAGGAGACUGACAGCCCAGCAGAAUCUCAGGACACUGGAGGCCAUACGUGUGAGGUCAUAUCUUCCCUUGAGAGCUGCAGUGGUAAUCUUGUCUCUCCAGAAUGUCCUGUGAUGAGCUCCUCAAAAAAACAGCUCAGACUCCUCCCCCGCCUCAAGGCCCCUCUGCUGACUGAGCUUACUGCCUACCACCCCCAGUGCCUCCAUCCCUAGACUAAGAGCUCAGCGAGCACACAGAAGCCAAACAGAAGCAGGACAGAGGGGAACCGUCCAACUUCCUGCCAAGGUGCUGAGUGGACAGACAGGCUUCAGAAGACAGGAGAAGGGGGAGAAAAUUGGUGGCCUUGACCGUAAAGAGCACUGAUGCCCUAGGGACCCAUUGCAUCCAGCAAGGAAUCACUCAGACCCAGGCAGGAUGCUGUUCUAUCAGUCCCUAGAUUCCUG